rnacentral:lncRNA from 1 species
CACUUUCUCAUGUACAUUCUAGUAAAGAAUUACUAUUGGUUCCACACCAUACCGGAAUGUGCCUUAGACAAAUAUAGAACUGCUUAAUAUAAUAUAUCUUAUCAAUUUCCUAUAUAUUUAAAUUUAAUAGAAUCCUAAUCAGAUUUUGAUGGAAAGUCGCUCUGAACUCUAUAUAAAGAGUAACUUAUCCUACCACCUUUUCACAUAU